rnacentral:misc_RNA from 1 species
GAUGAAGAACGUAGUGAAAUGCGAUAAGUAAUGCGAAUUGCAGAAUUCCAGUGAGUCAUCGAAUCUUUGAACGCACAUUGCGCCCUCUGGUAUUCCGGAGGGCAUGCCUGUUCGAGCGUCAUUUCGACCCUCAAGCAUUGCUUGGUGUUGGGGCACCGCCUGUAAAAGGGCGGGCCCUGAAAUCUAGUGGCGAGCUCGCCAGGACCCCGAGCGUAGUAAUUAUAUUUCGUUCUGGAAGGCCCUGGCGGUGCCCUGCCGUUAAACCCCCAACUUCUGAAAAUUUGACCUCGGAUCAGGUAGGAAUACCCGCUGAACUUAAGCAUAUCAAUAAGCGGAGGA